rnacentral:rRNA from 1 species
GGCAGUGCAGCAUAGCUAUGUACGGACGGGAUAACCGCUGAAGGCAUCUAAGCGGGAAACCCCCCUUAAAACGAGACCUCCCUUGAGGGCCGUGGAAGACGACCACGUCGAUAGGCCGGGGGUGCAAGCGCGGCGACGCGUUGAGCCGACCGGUACUAAUCGCCCGAUUGGCUUGAUCG